rnacentral:rRNA from 1 species
CUACGGGACGCUCCAGUGAGGAAUAUUGCACAAUGGGGGGAACCCUGAUGCAGCAACGCCGCGUGGAGGAUGACGCAUUUCGGUGUGUAAACUCCUUUUAUAUGUCAAGAAAAUGACGGUAGCAUAUGAAUAAGCACCGGCUAACUCCGUGCCAGCAGCCGCGGUAAUACGGAGGGUGCAAGCGUUACUCGGAAUCACUGGGCGUAAAGGACGCGUAGGCGGGUUGGAAAGUCAGGUGUGAAAUCCUACAGCUUAACUGUAGAACUGCACUUGAAACUUCUAAUCUAGAGUAUGGGAGAGGGAGAUGGAAUUAGUGGUGUAGGGGUAAAAUCCGUAGAUAUCACUAGGAAUACCUAAAGCGAAGGCGAUCUCCUGGAACAUUACUGACGCUGAGGCGUGAAAGCGUGGGGAGCAAACAGGAUUAGAUACCCCAGUAGUC